rnacentral:rRNA from 1 species
UACGUAGGGUGCGAGCGUUGUCCGGAAUUAUUGGGCGUAAAGGGCUCGUAGGCGGUUUGUCGCGUCGGGAGUGAAAACGCCGGGCUUAACUCGGUGCUUGCUUUCGAUACGGGCAGACUAGAGGCAUGCAGGGGAGAACGGAAUUCCUGGUGUAGCGGUGAAAUGCGCAGAUAUCAGGAGGAACACCGGUGGCGAAGGCGGUUCUCUGGGCCGAUACUGACGCUGAGGAGCGAAAGCGUGGGGAGCGAACAGG